GUAUAUACUACACGUGAUUCUGAUAUUUAAUAGUACAAAAAUUUCCAAAUCUAAUAGAUCUUGAGGAGGUAGGUACAGACACAGUUCUUCCUGCCCUAAGGGCAUAUGGUCUUGAAAAUUGACAUUGCGGUACUAAAUUUCGCAGUAGGUCAGAAGAGUAGUAACUCCGCUGUAACUUAAGUAACUUGUGCUAAUUAACACCAAAUUGCACUCAAAAUCAUGUUGUUACCUAUACCUAAUAAAUGAGGAUAUAGUGACCACUCAGAACUGAGGGUGUGACAGGUUUGUACCAGCUCUGUACAUUUCAUAAUGAAUGCUUCUUUCCAUACAUUUCUUGUAGCGUCUUGGUUUGACAUUUCUGAAGCCAAGAAUAGCAGCCUGGAGAUAUCAGAGAGGGAGUCGAUCUUUGGCUUACAACCUUGCCAAUCCAUUCUCUCAAGAACAGAAUGAAAAUAGUCACCACACAGCAGGACUAAACACAG